AUUGAACGCUGGCGGCAGGCCUAACACAUGCAAGUCGAGCGGAUGAAGGGAGCUUGCUCCUGGAUUCAGCGGCGGACGGGUGAGUAAUGCCUAGGAAUCUGCCUGGUAGUGGGGGAUAACGUCCGGAAACGGGCGCUAAUACCGCAUACGUCCUGAGGGAGAAAGUGGGGGAUCUUCGGACCUCACGCUAUCAGAUGAGCCUAGGUCGGAUUAGCUAGUUGGUGGGGUAAAGGCCUACCAAGGCGACGAUCCGUAACUGAUCUGAGAGGAUGAUCAGUCACACUGGAACUGAGACACGGUCCAGACUCCUACGGGAGGCAGCAGUGGGGAAUAUUGGACAAUGGGCGAAAGCCUGAUCCAGCCAUGCCGCGUGUGUGAAGAAGGUCUUCGGAUUGUAAAGCACUUUAAGUUGGGAGGAAGGGCAGUAAGUUAAUACCUUGCUGUUUUGACGUUACCAACAGAAUAAGCACCGGCUAACUUCGU
rnacentral:rRNA from 1 species